rnacentral:rRNA from 1 species
CAGCACUGCCGGUGCAGGAUGAAGGCCUUCGGGUUGUAAACUGCUUUUGUACGGAACGAAAAGGCUGCUUCUACUAAAGGGGGCUCAUGACGGUACCGUAAGAAUAAGCACCGGUUAACUACGUGCCAGCAGGCGCGGUAAUACGAUAGGGGGCGAGCGUUAAUCGGAAUUACUGGGCGUAAAGCGGGCGCAGGCGGUUAUAUAAGACAGAUGUGAAAUCCCCCGGGCUCAACCUGGGACCUGCCUUUGUGACUGUAUAGCUAGAGUACGGUAGGGGGGGAUGGAAUUCCGCGUGUAGCAGCGAAAUGCGCAGAUAUGCGGAGUAACACCGAUGGCGAAGGCAAUCCCCCUGGACCUGUACUGGGGCCUCAUGCAUCGAAAAGCGCGGGGGAGCAAACCAGGAUUAAGAUACCCCUGGGUAGUCCCCCGCCCUAAAACGAUGGUCACCCGGUGUGGUGGGGGUCUUCCCCUGAACUCAGUUAC